GUCAGUGUGUAAAGAACCUCCUUAAUUUUAAUUUGUUUUUUCUGUGUAAGGAAGGUUUUUGCCUCUCAUUAGAAAAAGUCAGCUUUCUAAUGCACAGUCUUUGGAGAAGGUGCCAGACAUUGCAAAACAAAAAGGGGGCUACUUCUUGGAAAUUCAGGACCCUGCCUGGCCUGAGAAACUUGUCUGACAUAGAGAAGGCCUCUUUGUUUGGCACUGCUGUAGUUUAGGAGCAGGGCCACAGAUUUCAAAGGAGUAAAGGGAUUCCCAUCCCUUCGGAGGCCCAGGAGCAGGGCCACUUCCCCGGGGAAACUCACUGUAAUGCACCACUUAAUGUUUCAGUGCAGGCCUGCUAGGGUCAGACAGACUGACCAGUCCGAAGUGAUGGUACCUCCCUCUACCUUCUGCUAAAUUAUGGCUUCACAUAUUUAAAGAGGAAGCUUGAUGGAUAGAUAGGCCUGGGAAUCUUCAUUCCCGUCUCUUGGGAGCCAUGAUGGUGCCACUGUUAGGACCAUUUGCUAUUUGAAGCUCAUGUAUAGAAAGCAUUUAACGAACCCUGGCAUUUAGGAAAUUGUGUAGAGUAAAAUCAUGAUAAUGAAAAAAAAUUUAAAAGGAAACGAUGGGAUUUGCCCUUUUCUGGUGUUUGAAGUUGCUCAGAGAAUUCUGUUUGUGGGAAUUUGAGAAGGACAAAUGUUGGUGAGUGCACUAGAGAAUUAAGACAAAUGAUAAUGAAAGAGAUGACAAAAGCUAGUGGUUUCUAUGGGGAAAUAAUCACGAAUCACUGUCAGGCUGAUUCCAAUAAGAACAUUGCUUUAUGUGAAAUGUUUUUUAAACAGCUCAAUCAAAGCAUUAAGCCAGAGCAUUUCUCAGGGCCUCUAUCUGCUGAAUGUGCCACUGCAUUUCCACCUGAGAUUCCUCACCCUGAGAAAUAUCGGACUGCAAGAAUUUGUGGAUCAGUAAGUCUGCCUGUUCAACCUUCGCUGGGCAUGAACAGCUAUAGGAGAGACCAUCUUCUGAGCAAGGUGCCCCCCAGGGCAGACUGGCUACAGAAUUUUCAGAGCCUCUGGUAAAGUGAAAAUACAGCGUCUCCUGUUCAAAAUUACUGAGAGUUUCAAGGCUGUGUCAGCAGAGUAAUAAACCAAGCAUGCCCCUGCUGAGCCUGCACUGGCAGCACACCUGGGAAACCAACCCUGCCCAUGGACCCCGAGAGAAAGGCAGCCUGCAAGCAGCCAGGGAUGUGCUUCCAGUCCAGGGGGGCCGUGUGGCGCUCAGCAUGGCAAGGGUGCACAGUCUGCUGGGGUGUGGAGACAGGGGUCUCUAGGACUCUGCAAAGAUAAGAGUCCAAUGCUGCCUAAACUGGGACAACACUGUCACAUCCGCAGGGUUUGUACUCAUCUCAGACCUUCACAUGACCCCUCCCCGCUUUCUCCAUGUUUUUAUUUUAGCCCCGAGUCACCCAAGCCACCCCAUCUAAGGGCAAUCAGCCCGAUUUGUACUAAUGCAUCUCAUGGGAAGCCUGUGUAGGAGUUUCCUUUUGGGGUGACAGUUCCUGCCACAGUAGGUGCCUGGGAAGCAAAGUAUAUGCAUAGAUUUUCCUCUUGUUCCCCGAACCCUCCUUUGCUUCCAUCACCUGAAAUGGGCUCUUGCGGGCCCUUCCUGACCACUCUGCAGGAACCCGAGAGUCUUCCCUAACACUAGAUAUUUGCCCUGCCAGCUUCUCCUGCUCCCUCAGUCCUUCCCCAUCCUAUUGGUGGAGCUGUCCCUUCCCC
ensembl:lincRNA